UCUUUGUUGGCUCAGAUGGUAAAGCAUCUGCCUGCAAUGCAGGAGACCCAGGUUCGUUUUCUGGGUCGGGAA
rnacentral:tRNA from 1 species